AAGCAAACAAAUUGGCAGAAGAAAAAGGGAGAGAUCUUUACAUCAUUACUUCAAACAAAAUGCCAUUUUUGGUGUCGACUGCCAAUGUAUUACACAGAUAUUUGCAAUAAUCAUUCUUUUCUGAGCAAUAGACAAGAGGGGUUGCUCUGAUGGUAAGCAACCCCCGCUUCCAACCGAGAGGUUGUGAGUUCGAGUCUCCCCAAGAGCAAGGUGGGAAGUUCUUGGAGGGAAGGAUGCCGGGGGUCUAAUUGGAAACAGCUAGGGUAGGGUUAAGAUCUGCAUACAUACUACCCUCUCCAGACCCUACUAAGUGGGAUUAUACAGUGGUAGAACCCAUUCCUUCCCAUUCUUCACUACUCCUUCCAUGUCCAGCCACCUCCAUUUGCAUCUGAAAGGAGAAAAGACAUUAUUUUCUUUUUAGGAUGAGAACUUGCACUUGAAAUGCAGUAAUAUGUUCUAGCAGAAGAAACACUUUCAUGAAAGAUUAUUAAAUCAUUGAAAACGGUACUAGGUUUCUCAAUAUUAUCGAGCAUUCUCACUUUUCUUCUAGGCUUUUCAACAGAACCUUCUCCAAGAGAUGCCAAAACAUUUCAAGUAGAUCGAUUUACGCUGCUACCUAGUAAACAAUAAAAGCUGCCAGCACAAACCACAAGAAUUCAUUGAUGACGUCCAAAGAAUGGGAGAUGAUCAUCUGCAUUGUAUACCACAUCUAUUGUUCCAUGAAGUCCAAGAACAUGUAACAUGAGAUAUUUGCUAGUACUAUUUUCGAUAGAAAAACUCCAGUGCAAAUGUAAUUGGAGUAACCAAAUACAUUCCACUAAGCAUAGGAACAUGAUUAGAUAGUAUUUUUUCUGAAGAAAGUGAAUACACCAAGCACUAGUAACCAAAUACGUAAAUGUUUUGUGUCUAUUCCUGCCAACGAUCUGGCCAGAUGGAGUCAAACCAGGUAUGUUGAUUGGAAUACCUCCAUUCCUGAUCCUCAUGCAAUCAGUGAGUAACAACAGCAAAAAGGAUCCUCAAACUUUUAUAAUCCAGGAGAUUUCCAUCUGUUACUGGAAAGUACUGGAUUUAUGGUGACGCUAAGGAGCUUAAGAUUCUGGACAAUGAUUUUAUACAAGGUAUAAUCUUUCAGGAAAAUGCGAUAAGAAAGGCACAGACCUUUUUUUCCGUAACCUACAUCAAGCUCAGCCUCUCACUUUCAAGUAAACCUGUCAGCAAGAUGUCAAGAGGAAUAAGCCCCUUAUAGAGCUCAACACUUCUCCCAGUACAACAGGGUAUUGGAAAUGCUAUUAAAUAACCCUAUGGAAUAUGUUCUACUCAAUUUUUGGACUCAAUUGGGUCAUGACACAUAAGAGUUAAAAAGCCUACAAAGGUUGAGCUUAUGAAGAGUUGAUAAAGAGACAUCAAGAAGAUCUGGAUUUUGGUCCCUGCAAGUAUUUUUUUCUUUUUUUGUGUUUGGACAAAAAGGAAUUACAGAUAUUUCGAUGGAAUCUCAACUCUGAACCACUCUUUAAAAGCUAGACGAAGACUUUAUUUAUUUAGCUGGAGCCUAGGUUGCUCGGACUCGGGUGCGGGUGGCCGAUACGGGUGAGGAUCUACAAGUCGGAUCCUUCAUGAUCUAAUUUUAAGAUUUGGGGGUAUGGAUCGAGGUAUGGAUACGGAUACGGGAUUCAGCUAAAGUAAUAUAUCCAAAAAUAGAGUUAUAAAAUAUGUCUAAAUUAUGAAAUAUUAUGUGGAGAACUUAUAAGAUAUAGGAGAAAAUAUUGAUCAAGAGGAGAAUCCGAGAAGGAGACAAAAGGAAAAUGACAGACAUAAAAAUUUUCAUACACAAAGUAUUCCAUUUUCUUCAAUUUCACCCUAGCGUUUGCUUGAAUUCAAAAAUCAUUGUAUCUAUCCCGAAUUUCUCCAUUGACUUUAGUCAAAGUACCCAAAAUCGGUUGACCAUACCUUGUAUGGAUCCCACACCUACACCCACGUCAUUCUCGACACGGUUGCGGCACCCAAAGUAAAGAGUCCAAGCAACUUAGUCUGCAGCAACCUAACCUCUAUAAACAGCAUUGAUCCUCUUUGGAUUUUCUUAGCUCCCUGAAUCUAGUACAGUUUCUUUUGAUGUAUUGAAGCUAGCAAUCUCUCUUUUGUACCUUUUCAAUCUUCCUGAUAUCUAUCAAUGAAACAUCUUACUUCAUUUUAAAAGAAAGCUCUUGGGUCUAGUAAUCUCUGGUUGUCUGAUUUGUCUGAUGGAGUCAUCCUUUGGAUUGUAUAUCAUGAAAACUGAUCGAUACAAAAGCAAAAUUUCACCCUUAAAAGACAAGAGGGGUUGCUCUGAUGGUAAGCAAGCCCCACUUCCAACCGAGAGAUUGUGAGUUCGAGUCUCCCCAAGAGCAAGGUGAGAAGUUCUUGN
rnacentral:lncRNA from 1 species